AAGCAUAUCAAUAAGCGGAGGAAAAGAAACCAACCGGGAUUGCCUCAGUAACGGCGAGUGAAGCGGCAACAGCUCAAAUUUGAAAUCUGGCCCUCGGGUCCGAGUUGUACUUUGCAGAGGAUGCUUCUGGCGAGGCGCCGCCCAAGUCCCCUGGAACGGGGCGCCGGAGAGGGUGAGAGCCCCGUACGGUCGGCGGCCGAGCCUGUGCGAAGCUCCUUCGACGAGUCGAGUAGUUUGGGAAUGCUGCUCUAAGCGGGAGGUAGACCCCUUCUAAAGCUAAAUACCGGCCAGAGACCGAUAGCGCACAAGUAGAGUGAUCGAAAGAUGAAAAGCACUUUGAAAAGAGGGUUAAACAGCACGUGAAAUUGUUGAAAGGGAAGCGCUUGCGACCAGACGUGCGCCGGGGUGCUCCGCGGGCGUUCUCGCCCGCGCACUCGCCCCGGCGCAGGCCAGCGUCGGUUCGGACGGGGGGACAAAGGCGCCUGGAACGUGGCUCCCCCGGGAGUGUUAUAGCCAGGCGCGCCAUGCCCCCGACCGGACCGAGGUUCGCGUUCUGCAAGGACGCUGGCGUAAUGGUCCCCAGCGGCCCGUCUUGAAACACGGACCAAGGAGUCGAGGUUUUGCGCGAGUGUUUGGGUGACAAACCCGCACGCGUAAUGAAAGUGAACGCUGGUGGGAGCUUCGGCGCACCACCGACCGAUCCUGAAGUUUACGGAUGGAUUUGAGUACGAGCGCAGGGCCUCGGACCCGAAAGAUGGUGAACUAUGCUUGGAUAGGGUGAAGCCAGAGGAAACUCUGGUGGAGGCUCGCAGCGGUUCUGACGUGCAAAUCGAUCGUCAAAUCUGAGCAUGGGGGCGAAAGACUAAUCGAACCGUCUAGUAGCUGGUUACUGCCGAAGUUUCCCUCAGGAUAGCAGUGUUGAUCUCAGUUUUAUGAGGUAAAGCGAAUGAUUAGGGACUCGGGGGCGCUUUUCAGCCUUCAUCCAUUCUCAAACUUUAAAUAUGUAAGAAGCCC
rnacentral:rRNA from 1 species